rnacentral:rRNA from 1 species
UGCAAGUCGAACGGCAGCACGGGUGCUUGCACCUGGUGGCGAGUGGCGAACGGGUGAGUAAUACAUCGGAACAUGUCCUGUAGUGGGGGAUAGCCCGGCGAAAGCCGGAUUAAUACCGCAUACGAUCCACGGAUGAAAGCGGGGGACCUUCGGGCCUCGCGCUAUAGGGUUGGCCGAUGGCUGAUUAGCUAGUUGGUGGGGUAAAGGCCUACCAAGGCGACGAUCAGUAGCUGGUCUGAGAGGACGACCAGCCACACUGGGACUGAGACACGGCCCAGACUCCUACGGGAGGCAGCAGUGGGGAAUUUUGGACAAUGGGCGAAAGCCUGAUCCAGCAAUGCCGCGUGUGUGAAGAAGGCCUUCGGGUUGUAAAGCACUUUUGUCCGGAAAGAAAUCCUUGGCUCUAAUACAGUCGGGGGAUGACGGUACCGGAAGAAUAAGCACCGGCUAACUACGUGCCAGCAGCC